rnacentral:rRNA from 1 species
GACGAACGCUGGCGGCGUGCCUAACACAUGCAAGUCGAGCGAGUGAAUCUCCUUCGGGAGUGAAGCUAGCGGCGGACGGGUGAGUAACACGUGGGCAACCUGCCUCAUAGAGGGGAAUAGCCUUUCGAAAGGAAGAUUAAUACCGCAUAAGAUUGUAGCUUCGCAUGAAGUAGCAAUUAAAGGAGCAAUCCGCUAUGAGAUGGGCCCGCGGCGCAUUAGCUAGUUGGUGAGGUAACGGCUCACCACGGCGACGAUGCGUAGCCGAACUGAGAGGGUGAUCGGCCACAUUGGGACUGAGACACGGCCCAGACUCCUACGGGAGGCAGCAGUGGGGAAUAUUGCACAAUGGGGGAAUCCCUGAUGCAGCAACGCCGCGUGAGUGAUGACGGCCUUCGGGUUGUAAAGCUUUGUCUUCAGGGACGAUAAUGACGGUACCUGAGGAGGAAGCCACGGCUAACUACGUGCCAGCAGCCGCGGUAA